AUGUCUGGAGAGCUGUGGUCCAAGGCCAUUUUUGCCAGCUAUAAGCAGGGUCUCCGGAACCAAAGGGAGUAGACUGCUCUUCUUAAAAUUGAAGAUGUUUAUGCCCAUGAUGAAACAGAAGUCUAUUUGGGCAAGAGAUGCGCUUAUGUACACAAAGCAAAGAACAACACAGUGACAUCUGGCAGCAAACCAAAAAAACCAGAGUAAUCUGGGUAAAGGUAACUUGGGCCCACGGAAACAGUGGCCUGAUUCGUGGCAAAUUCUGAAGCAAUCUUCCUGCUAAGGCUAUUGGACACAGAUCUGAGUGAUGCUGGACCCCUCAAGGAUUUAA
rnacentral:lncRNA from 1 species